rnacentral:tRNA from 1 species
UGCAGCGUAGCUUAAUGGUAGAGCCGCGGCCUCAUAAGCCGACAGGUGCGGGUUCAAUUCCCGCCGCUGCCACCA